rnacentral:rRNA from 1 species
UACGUAGGGUGCAAGCGUUGUCCGGAUUUAUUGGGCGUAAAGAGCGUGUAGGCGGCCGUACAGGUCAGCUGUGAAAACUCGAGGCUCAACCUCGAGACGUCGGUUGAAACCGUAUGGCUAGAGUCCGGAAGAGGAGAGUGGAAUUCCCGGUGUAGCGGUGAAAUGCGCAGAUAUCGGGAAGAACACCCGUGGCGAAGGCGGCUCUCUGGGACGGUACUGACGCUGAGACGCGAAAGCGUGGGGAGCGAACAGG